GACAGAGGGUGCAAACGUUGUUCGGAAUUACUGGGCGUAAAGCGUGCGUAGGUGGUUUGUUAAGUCUGAUGUGAAAGCCCUGGGCUCAACCUGGGAAUGGCAUUGGAUACUGGCGAGCUAGAGUGCGGUAGAGGGUAGUGGAAUUCCUGGUGUAGCGGUGAAGUGCGCAGAUAUCAGGAAGAACACCCGUGGCGAAGGCGGUUCUCUGGGACGGUACUAACGCUGAGACGCGAAAGCGUGGGGAGCGAACAGG
rnacentral:rRNA from 1 species